UUUAUGUUUAUUUUUAGCUCCUCUAGCAGCAUUACUGAGUUAAUUCUUUCUCAUUUUGUUUUCUCUCUUCGAAAAGAAUUUAGCAAAUCGCAACACAAAGACUUCACUAAAUUAAAGCAACUCGAGUCAGCGAAAAUGGAACACAACGGGCACACAAACUUGGGGAACUUCGAGUUUUCGAAGUGUUCGUCAUUUAUUACGAGCGAUAAAAGCAAGUUUGAGCCGAGGAAUGGAAGUUAUCGAAGUGGCGAGUCAAUCCGAAUGUCUAUCGAAGUGACGAGCCAAAGGGAAAGAACCGAAUCUCAAGUUUCAGCUAAUGGCCACCCCAGCGGUUGUGAGACUUCGGAUUCUUGGGCUGCAUCGAUAAAGAAAUAUUUGGAUCGUUUGGUUGAGCAGUACCCUGCUGCAAAAGAGAUGAAUGAAACCAAGAGGUUGUUAGAGGUCUUAUCAUACCUUCGUGAAUGCUCUAACGGUCAUAAUGGCGAAGAAGCGAAGUUACACUUUGUUCUGAUGCUAAUCGAAGAAACUGUCGGAUUCAUUCGAUUCAAAGUUCAACGACAUGUGAAACUGACAACAGAAAUAAAAUUAUUCACCGAAUCCGACAAGGAGGAUUUGGAAGCAAGAUUUGAGGAAAUAAAGGAAAAAGUGAAUCAGUUGAGCGUCUAAACUUUCCUAGAUAACUCUGAUUGAAUUAUUCAGUCCCCGCCCUCCUGAUUGUUUUGUUUCUGAAGUUCAAUAUAAAAAGUCUUUUAAUACAGUAGAUUAAUACAGUACAUUUUAAUACAAUGUUUACUGUCA